AUGAUUUAAAUCAUCUGUUUUUUACUAAUGCAUCCAGAAGCUUUUUUUGUGUGUGUGGGAUUAGGCCUUAUCUGCAAAUAAACUUUGGUAGUGAUAUAAUUAUAAGAGAACAAUAAUAUAUUUCUGUAGUCUACCAUUUAGUCCAUGUUUUAUGCACGUUUAGACCAUUGAAUUAAUCUCUGAAACAAUAGAAAUAAAUUCUUUACUAGAAAUAGCUUGCUUUUGCCUUGGCUUUGUGGCAAAGCGACAUUAGGGAACAUAUAUGGUUGUUGUUGAACCUGAUUGCUUUAGCAGCCCUUGGGUUGAUAGUAUCAGGUUCCAGCCUGCCCUGCUAGGUCAACGUGGACCCAGGGCUUUAAAGAGAAAAGUUCAGGGAAAGUUCACUUCUAUUGUUUUACCAUGGUUACAAAACAGAAAGGAAAAAAAAA
rnacentral:lncRNA from 1 species